GAUGAACGCUGGCGGCGUGCCUAAUACAUGCAAGUCGAGCGAACGGACGAGAAGCUUGCUUUUCUGAUGUUAGCGGCGGACGGGUGAGUAACACGUGGAUAACCUACCUAUAAGACUGGGAUAACUUCGGGAAACCGGAGCUAAUACCGGAUAAUAUUUUGAACCGCAUGGUUCAAAAGUGAAAGACGGUCUUGCUGUCACUGAUAGAUGGAUCCGCGCUGCAUUAGCUAGUUGGUAAGGUAACGGCUUACCAAGGCAACGAUGCAUAGCCGACCUGAGAGGGUGAUCGGCCACACUGGAACGGAGACAGGGUCCAGACUCCUACGAGAGGCAGCAGUAGGGAGUCUUCCGCAAUGGGCGAAAGCCUGACGGAGCAACGCCGCGUGAGUUAUGAAGGUCUUCGGAUCGUAAAACUCUGUUAUUAGGGAAGAACAUAUGUGUAAGUAACUGUGCACAUCUUGACGGUACCUAAUCAGAAAGCCACGGCUAACUACGUG
rnacentral:rRNA from 1 species